rnacentral:rRNA from 1 species
UGCGCAGGCGGUUUCGUAAGACAGAUGUGAAAUCCCCGGGCAUAACCUGGGAACUGCAUUUGUGACUGCGAGACUAGAGUACGGCAGAGGGGGGUAGAAUUCCACGUGUAGCAGUGAAAUGCGUAGAUAUGUGGAGGAAUACCGAUGGCGAAGGCAGCCCCCUGGGUCGAUACUGACGCUCAUGCACGAAAGCGUGGGGAGCAAACAGGAUUAGAUACCCUGGUAGUCCACGCCCUAAACGAUGUCAACUAGGUGUUGGGGGAGGAGACUUCCUUAGUACCGCAGCUAACGCGUGAAGUUGACCGCCUGGGGAGUACGGCCGCAAGGUUGAA